GAUGAACGCUAGCGGCAGGCUUAAUACAUGCAAGUCGAGGGGCAGCACGGUUAGCAAUAACUGGUGGCGACCGGCGCACGGGUGCGUAACACGUAUACAAUCUACCUUAAACAGGGGGAUAGCCUUUCGAAAGAGAGAUUAAUACCCCGUAAUAAAUUGAACGGCAUCGUUUGAUUUUGAAAGCUCCGGCGGUUUGAGAUGAGUAUGCGUCUGAUUAGCUAGUUGGUGAGGUAACGGCUCACCAAGGCGACGAUCAGUAGGGGAUCUGAGAGGACUAACCCCCACACUGGUACUGAGACACGGACCAGACUCCUACGGGAGGCAGCAGUAUGGAAUAUUGGUCAAUGGAGGCAACUCUGAACCAGCCAUGCCGCGUGCAGGAUGACGGCCCUAUGGGUUGUAAACUGCUUUUAUACAAGAGAAAACCCUGGUACGUGUACCAGGUUGAUAGUAUUGUAAGAAUAAGCAUCGGCUAACUUCGUGCCAGCAGCCGCGGUAAU
rnacentral:rRNA from 1 species